rnacentral:rRNA from 1 species
CCCCUAGAUGUUCUGGGCCGCACGCGCGCUACACUGAACAGUUCAACAAGUCUUAACCUUGGCCGAUAGGUCUGGGUAAUCUUUGAACGCUGUUCGUGAUUGGGAUAGACCUUUGCAAUUAUGGGUCUUCAACGAGGAAUUCCUAGUAAACGCAAGUCAUCAGCUUGCAUUGUUUACGUCCCUGCCCUUUGUACACACCGCCCGUCGCACCUACCGAUUGAAUGGUCCGGUGAAAUCUCGGGACGGCGGCUUGGUCGCUUGCGUCCGACUGCUGAAACUUGAUUAAACCAUAUCAUUUAGAGGAAGGUGAAGUCGUAACA